GAAAAAUAUUGAAUAUUAUUGUGAUUGUGACAAACAUUUGUGUCUAAAACAUAUAGAGUGGUCAAGGACAAAUAGUGGCAUAAUGCCAAAGCGCAGUAUUGUGGAAUGUGGCUCCGGAAAGAAUGAAAACCAGAAAAGUUUGUCUUUGCACCGGUUACCAAGAAGUGAAAAUAGAAAAGGAAAAUGGUUAGAAGCAAUUGAAACUGAAAAUAUCAAGCCAAAUGUAAAGGAUAUAUCAUAGUAUGUUCCCUACAUUUCCCCGAAAGUGCUUUCAAUAGAACAAUGGAUGUGAUUAGUCUGCACGAUGAUGCUAUACCAGUAUGUUUGCCGCUGCAUUCACACAGGGUACCGGUUGAGCCUCAAAUCCCGAACUCAAAAAUGAACAGAGUGAAUCCGAGUGCAUCACAGGCUGCACGAAAUAGUUUAGUUCUAUAAUUUUCUCUGUUAUUA